UGAAUGAGAAGUUCAUCGUUAUGAGCAUGAGAUGCCAUUUUUCUGCAAUACAUAGUUAGAUGAUUUUUUGGACAUGUGUUGCCCUUGUAUUUUUCAAAGUCAGGAACCUUGAAUUUGGCAGGGAUAGUCACAUCAGGAACCAAACACAUAUCGAAAGCUUCAAGGCCAUAAAUAUUAUACCCCUCAAUAGCUUUUAUUCGCUCUUCCAAUACAUAGAAUUUUUCCUUUGAUUGUGUAUCAUCCCCAAUGUGAGGUUGAUGCCAAUUUCCAUUAGUAUCGAAAUGGGGUACUUGGGGUGCAAUAUAUGGAAUAUUUUCUGAGGGUUGAGUGUUUUGGGGGUUUAAGUGGUUUGGGU
rnacentral:lncRNA from 1 species